UGAGGAAUAUUGGUCAAUGGUCGGGAGACUGAACCAGCCAAGCCGCGUGAGGGAUGAAGGUACAGAGUAUCGUAAACCUCUUUUGUCAGGGAACAAAAGGCGCCACGCGUGGCGCUCCGAGUGUACCUGAAGAAAAAGCAUCGGCUAACUCCGUGCCAGCAGCCGCGGUAAUACGGAGGAUGCGAGCGUUAUCCGGAUUUAUUGGGUUUAAACGGGUGCGUAGGCGGCGAGUUAAGUCAGCGGUAAAAGCCCGGGGCUCAACCCGCCCGGCCGUCGUAAACUGGCUUGCUUGAGUUGGAGAGAAGUAGGCGGAAUGCGCGGUGUAGCGGUGAAAUGCUUAGAUAUCGCGCAGAACUCCGAUUGCGAAGGCAGCCCUACCCGGCUCCAGACUGACGCUGAGGCACGAAAGCGUGGGUAUCGAACAGGAUUAGAUACC
rnacentral:rRNA from 1 species